CUCUCGUGGACUUCGGGAGGCGGGGUGCCUUCGGGACUCUGUGCAGGUGCUGCAUGGCUGUCGUCAGCUCGUGUUGUGAAAUGUUGGGUUAAGUCCCGUAACGAGCGCAACCCUUAUCCCUAUUUGCCAGCGAUUCGGUCGGGAACUCUAGGGAGACUGCCGGUGACAAACCGGAGGAAGGUGGGGACGACGUCAAGUCAUCAUGGCCCUUACGGGUAGGGCUACACACGUGCUACAAUGGCGGGUACAAAGGGUCGCAAGACCGCGACGUGGAGCUAAUCCCACAAAGCCUGCCUCAGUCCGGAUUGGAGUCUGCAACUCGACUCCAUGAAGUCGGAAUCGCUAGUAAUCGUGAAUCAGAAUGUCACGGUGAAUACGUUCCCGGGUCUUGUACACACCGAA
rnacentral:rRNA from 1 species